ACUAUUUCUCCUUUGGGCUUUAGCGACCCAAUCAACCACCUUAUUGGCUUCUUUACUGAUAUGGGCCAAAUUUAGCUUCAAGUAGGGCUUGCGCAGCUGUUGGGCUUCGCUGAUAAGCAGAUGGAGCUCCCAACUGAUCUGUGCUUGAUCUGCGAGCCCACUUAUCAGAUCCAAGUGAUCCGUUUCAAUCUCCACCUCUUCUCCCGAUCGAACGAGAAAGUACUUUAGGGUUUGUACCAAGGCUGUCGCUUCUGUCAUUGCCGCCGAUGAAGCUUUGAUCGAUCGAGCGAACCCGUCCACCAGGCGCCCAUUGUGGUCUCUACAGAUAGCAGCAAUAGCUCCUUCGCUCGUUCCUUCCAGAUAAGCACCGUCUAUGUUGAUUUUUAGUUUUCCUCUCUCCGGUGGUCGCCACUGCUGGGAAGGAAUUGCUGAUAAAGCUUCUUCUUUUUUCUUCCCAGGAAGCCAUCUUGUGCAAUUUCGAAGUAACAAGUGAGCAUUCUCCGCCGUACGCUCGGGAUCUGGUUUCAGUGACCGAAAAAUGCCGUUGUUUCUGGCUUUGCAAAUCUGCUAGAGGACGCUCGCCAACAACUCGAGAGGAAUGCAGAGAAGGAUGAUCCCAUACCUUCUUCGUCCAGGGGCACAGGAGGAGGAUAUGGUCCACAGUCUCUGGGCUUUGCUUGCAGAUGCUACAAAUUGGAUCAGGUUUUAAAGCUUUAGCAGACCAAGCGACCUUCUGUCACCAAGGCCAGUGCAUCAACAGCCAUUUGUUGACUGGCAAAAUUGUCAAGACCAAGGACACAGAGAGAAGAAGAAAGAGCUGGUAGGGUUUGUGGGUAAUGGGGGAAGGGGUUUAGGGUUUAACAGGGUUUUGGGUUUCUGAUGUAAAGGGGUAAUGAUUUUUCCACGAAGAAGUGGAAAGAUUGAAAAGAAAAAAAGGAAAGCGGAUUGACAUAGGAAAGGGAUUAGGGUUAGAAAUUUGGAUUGAGAUUGAAGAGAGCUACCACAAAAUAGGGUAGAGAGAAGCUCUCAUGAUGAGAGAGAGAACUGGAACCGAUUCCAGAGCCUGAAAUUUUUACGGCAAUUUCAAUUGACUGGUUUUUAGAAUUUUAGGGUACUUUA